rnacentral:rRNA from 1 species
CUUCUUUUUCACCGGAGCUUGCUCCACCGGAAAAAGAAGAGUGGCGAACGGGUGAGUAACACGUGGGUAACCUGCCCAUCAGAAGGGGAUAACACUUGGAAACAGGUGCUAAUACCGUAUAACAAUCAAAACCGCAUGGUUUUGAUUUGAAAGGCGCUUUCGGGUGUCGCUGAUGGAUGGACCCGCGGUGCAUUAGCUAGUUGGUGAGGUAACGGCUCACCAAGGCCACGAUGCAUAGCCGACCUGAGAGGGUGAUCGGCCACAUUGGGACUGAGACACGGCCCAAACUCAUACGGGAGGCAGCAGUAGGGAAUCUUCGGCAAUGGACGAAAGUCUGACCGAGCAACGCCGCGUGAGUGAAGAAGGUUUUCGGAUCGUAAAACUCUGUUGUUAGAGAAGAACAAGGAUGAGAGUAACUGUUCAUCCCUUGACGGUAUCUAACCAGAAAGCCACGGCUAACUACGUGCCAGCAGCCGCGGUAAUACGUAGGUGGCAAGCGUUGUCCGGAUUUAUUGGGCGUAAAGCGAGCGCAGGCGGUUUCUUAAGUCUGAUGUGAAAGCCCCCGGCUCAACCGGGGAGGGUCAUUGGAAACUGGGAGACUUGAGUGCAGAAGAGGAGAGUGGAAUUCCAUGUGUAGCGGUGAAAUGCGUAGAUAUAUGGAGGAACACCAGUGGCGAAGGCGGCUCUCUGGUCUGUAACUGACGCUGAGGCUCGAAAGCGUGGGGAGCAAACAGGAUUAGAUACCCUGGUAGUCCACGCCGUAAACGAUGAGUGCUAAGUGUUGGAGGGUUUCCGCCCUUCAGUGCUGCAGCUAACGCAUUAAGCACUCCGCCUGGGGAGUACGACCGCAAGGUUGAAACUCAAAGGAAUUGACGGGGGCCCGCACAAGCGGUGGAGCAUGUGGUUUAAUUCGAAGCAACGCGAAGAACCUUACCAGGUCUUGACAUCCUUUGACCACUCUAGAGAUAGAGCUUCCCCUUCGGGGGCAAAGUGCCAGGUGGUGCAUGGUGGUCGUCAGCUCGUGUCGUGAGAUGUUGGGUUAAGUCCCGCAACGAGCGCAACCCUUAUUGUUAGUUGCCAUCAUUCAGUUGGCCACUCUAGCAAGACUGCCGGUGCCAAACCGGAGGAAGGUGGGGAUGACGUCAAAUCAUCAUGCCCCUUAU